GAUGAACGCUAGCGGCAGGCUUAAUACAUGCAAGUCGAGGGGGAUUAUUUUUUGUAGCAAUACAGAGAUAUGAGACCGGCAAACGGGUGCGGAACACGUACGCAACCUUCCCAAAACUGGUGAAUAGCCCUCCGAAAGGAGGAUUAAUACACCGUAACAUAAUGAAGUGGCAUCACUUUAUUAUUAUAGCUCCGGCGGUUUUGGAUGGGCGUGCGCCUGUUUAGGUAGUUGGCGGGGUAACGGCCCACCAAGCCUGCGAUCAGUAACUGGUGUGAGAGCACGACCAGUCACACGGGCACUGAGACACGGGCCCGACUCCUACGGGAGGCAGCAGUAAGGAAUAUUGGUCAAUGGGCGAAAGUCUGAACCAGCCAUGCCGCGUGAAGGAUGAAGGCCCUCUGGGUUGUAAACUUCUUUUAUCUGGGACGAAAAAAGGCGAUUCUUCGUCACUUGACGGUACCAGAGGAAUAAGCACCGGCUAACUCCGUGCCAGCAGCCGCGGUAAAAC
rnacentral:rRNA from 1 species